UAAGGAGUAGAUGUAUCAUUUUUUAUUAAUAUUAAUCAACAUUUAGGAAUAUUAUUUAAUAAUCAAAUAUUCACAUAUACAUAUAUAAAAUAAGAACUUAAUGUUAAGAACUCAAGUUAAUGUUAUCAUUAUUAUUUACACAUUUUGUUAUUACUAAAUACACCUUAAUUAUUAGCCGCGCUCGAGUUUCUUAUUCUUAAAACAAAUAGAAUGACAAAAAUAAAUAAAUAGCAAAAGCUCAAAAGGUAAACGUGGCAAAUCUUUAUUAAUUAUUAUUAUUUAAUUAUUCAUACAGCAUUUUCUCAGUUUUCUGAAUGACAUUUUUACAUAGUAAUCACGCGGAUAUAUACAACGGAUAUGUACACACUGAGCUUAUCGCAUACCCAUUUGUCAGAUAAUGUUACAUUGGAGCUUCAAAUGAAGUAAGAGAUGCUGCAAAUGUAUCGAGAGACAAUAAAGCCAAAAGAAAUUUUUGACAUAGUAUGUUGAAGAUAUCCUACAGCGGCUACGGAAGUAUCAUAUAACUCUAUAAAAAGUCUUCUGCAUAGAGAGCAAUUGCGAAAAAGACCGGAAAUAUCGCAAACCGUUGCCAAACUGGAAAUGCUAUUGAGUAAUUAUAAACCGAUACGACACAUUUACAAAGGCACGGUAGAGUCGGAUGAAGGAUACAGAGCCGUCAUUUUUACAAAUGACGCUUUGUUAAACGCUCUAGCAGAAAGCAAGGAGAUUUAUAUCGAUGGGACGUUUUCGUUCCCAGAGUGCCAUUGUUCGCACAAUUGCAUACUAUCGAUGUGCGAUAUAUGGAUACGGGUAUAGCUGUCGCCUUUGUUUUGUGCAAAAAACACACAAUGAGUGUGUAUACAAAAAUGUGGCAAAAAUUGAAGGAACUACGUCCAUUAGAAAGAGUGGAGUCAGUGAUGAGCGACUACGAACGUGCGGCAAUGACGGUUACUAAAGAAAUUUUCCAAAAUUCGCCAAUAACUGGCUGUUGAUUCCAUUAUAAUCAGGCCGUAGUGCGACGGUGGAAGUCACUAGGAUUGACGAGAGUUCCAAGGAAGAUUCUUGGUCUCAUCAUGGCCUUACCGUUGGCUCCGGCUAACAUGUUCAAACAAGGUCUACAAAUUAUACGAAUAGAAGAAGCCGAUGUAAUAUCAGCAGAGUAUCCUGCUGUAUUACAAUUUGCUGUUUAUUUACGACAAACUUGGCUUUCAUUAAAAGAAAAAGUCUCCGUUUAUGAUAUCCUCAUACGGACCAACAAUUUAGUAAAAAGUUUUCACUUCGUAAUGUUCCGUAAACUUGACCGAAUUCAUCCCCAGAUAAUCAAGCUAGAUUCAGCACAUCAGGCAAAUUAAUGCAUUGUAUGUAUUGUUGUGAAUUUGCUGGCUACCAAAUUUAAUGUAAAACUGAGUCAGCAACAGAAGAGCAAAAACACAACAUCAGUUAAUGAAAUGUUAAGAGCAAACGUUUAUUAAUAAUAACAUAUCAUGUUGACAGCAAACUGUCGGCUCGUCAUGAGCUUGCAUUCGUCAUAAUGACAGCAAUAUGCCCAUACAGCACAGAAAAUUUCAGCAACAUUGCAGCAAUGUUGCAAUGUUGCAGAUUGCAAUGCAAUAUUACGGAGACAUUACAGAAAUAUAAAUUACACAA